UCCCCCACCACAGAAGUGUUGAAGUCUUAAUCCCCAGGACCUCAGAAAAAAAUAUGACCUUAUUUGGAAGUGUUCAUUGUGAAUGUAAUUAGUUAAGAUGAGGUCGUACCGAUGUAGGAUGUGCCCCCCUAUUCCAGUGUGACUGGUGGCCACAUGAAGAUGGAGCAGAGAUUGAGUGAUGAGGUCACAAGCCAAGGAAUGCCUGAGGUCAUCAAGAUGUGAGAGGCAAGAAAGGAUCCUUCUACAGAGACUCCAAGGAGAUCAUGCCUCUGCUGACCUUGAUUCCAGACCCCUUGCUUCCAGAGCUCUACGGGAUCCUGAGGACAAGUCUACCUCGCGGUGCAUCCAGCAAACACCUCCCAGGAGGAAGGGAUGGUUGUUCAGCCAGAGAAAACCGAUUCCAGCUUUGGGGACUGGAAGGUUCAAGCUGAUUGGUGAUGAUGCUUUCCAAAGGGCUGUUACCACUGCUUCCUGCCACCCUCAGUGUUUUGGAAUCAUUUGGUGCUCCCAGUUGGAAUAAAUGGAAAACGUGUUUAACUUAAAAAGCCAAGCAUACAAUGCUAUCGUAUUGCACAAGCAAACUUGCAGCAGAGCGGGGGGCAACUACUGUUUCAAGAUGAUUUAAGAAUCCGAUCCAGUGUCUGGCUGCACAACUGCAUGCUUUGAAAGGCACCUCACAGAUGGGUUUCAUAAUUGAGAAAUGCAUUUGUUCUUUGUUGGCAUAUAAAAAUAAUGUGAUUCAAAGCUUGGA